rnacentral:rRNA from 1 species
AUUGAACGCUGGCGGCAGGCCUAACACAUGCAAGUCGAGCGGAUGAAGGGAGCUUGCUCCUGGAUUCAGCGGCGGACGGGUGAGUAAUGCCUAGGAAUCUGCCUGGUAGUGGGGGAUAGCGUCCGUAAACGGGCGCUAAUACCGCAUACGUCCUGAUGGAGAAAGUGGGGGAUCUUCGGACCUCACGCUAUCAGAUGAGCCUAGGUCGGAUUAGCUAGUUGGUGGGGUAAAGGCCUACCAAGGCGACGAUCCGUAACUGGUCUGAGAGGAUGAUCAGUCACACUGGAACUGAGACACGGUCCAGACUCCUACGGGAGGCAGCAGUGGGGAAUAUUGGGCAAUGGGCGAAAGCCUGAUCCAGCCAUGCCGCGUGUGUGAAGAAGGUCUUCGGAUUGUAAAGCACUUUAAGUUGGGAGGAAGGGCAGUAAGUUAAUACCUUGCUGUUUUGACGUUACCAACAGAAUAAGCACCGGCUAACUUCGUG